rnacentral:rRNA from 1 species
ACAUGAAAUCUCUGAAUGCUCCACCAACAAAGGCUCAGGAAACAAAACCAUUCUGGAGGGGAUUGUGAAAGUGCCAACAGGGGUGAGAAUCCUGUGGUUCUUGCAGACCUUGUUCACGGUGUCUGCUUUCCAGAGUCAUGCUCCUUGGAACUGGAGUGCAAAGUGGGUGGUAGCUUCCACACAAAGGCAAACACACCACUGAGACUGACAGUGAAGAAGUACCGUGAGGGAAGUAUGAAAAGGACUUUGGAAAGAGAUUUAAAAGAGCCUGCACUUGCUGGACAACAAGCAUACAGAAUGAUCGUGUGAUUGGACAGAUUGCUGUGUGAAUACAGGUAACAAUCCUGUGCUGCAUGCGGAGAUUCUUUCUUGGUGUGCCAACUAGUGUGAGAGCAGUCAGUAUCUGUGGGCAGUGCUUGGGGUGUGUCUUGUGUCACAUGUGAUUGUAUGUACCUGGUCUGAACAUGUGAAACUGCAUCUACUGGCAAUGAAGAGUUAUGCAUGCAGUUGCUUUCACCAACGGUUCACCUUGUCAACGACAUGGGUGCCUUUCUGUGUGACCCGUCUUGAAACACGGACCAAGGAGUCUAGGCAGUAUGCAAGCUUGGGGGUGACAAACUCUGAGCACAAUGAAGCUGGAGUCCCGGA